UUUUAAAUAUUAUUUUUUACGACAAACCUAGCCCCCCUUAAAAUGACAGUCUGGGGCGAGCCCCAAGAAUAAAUAACAAGCGUCGACGAAAACCAAAACAAAAACAAAAGUUAGUCCGUAUAAGGCAAAAACAAGGGGAGAGCCCAGAGAGAGGGAGAGCGAGAGAGCGCGCUCCACGACCAGCUGUUGGGUUUCCGUGGUCGUCGGCGGAGGGGGCGGAGGGGAGCCCAAGUGUUGUGGCCCCUCUCUUUCUGGGGCUCUGCGUCGUCCGUAGAGCCAUCGUCGGGGGCGUUCGUUGCCACACCGAGCCCAGGGAUCACAAAACUCACGGAUCUACGUACUCGAGUGGAAGUGGAGCACGUUCUGGAAAUGCGGAAAACGCAGUUUUCCCCAAGCUCCAAUUACGCACUUGGCAGCGCAAUUACCGAGGAAUGGUGUGGCUGAAUUGCUGGCAAGUAGUGGAGCACUCUGCCUGGAAAAGCGAUUUUCGCUGCCGCACGUCACGUCGCACUCGAGCCACCAACGAAAGUGAACUGCCAAUUCCGCAGGGCCCCAAAUCGAGGAAAACUAAACUAAGCACUCGUUGUAACGGACGCAAACGCGCAUCUCGGUUUAGGGGGACCGCAGGUGGGGGCGCCAAAAAAUACCACGGUCCCCCGGCGCUGCCAUCUGAAGUUCCGCGGGGUCCAGUGCUGCCAGAUCUGGUAUUGUGAUCAUGAUGAUUUGAUAUAUCUGACAUUUGAUAUAUCUGAUAAAGGUUUAACUAUUCUUAUUUUAGAAGGAGUUAAGCCUUAAUUAAAAAUUAAAUGUAUAACGAAUUCGAAUUUUAAGGACGUAAAUAAACUGUCUAUGACUAUUUUGCAUAAGCUA